UGCUCUGGGGAGGACCCUUGGCACGGUCGCAGUGCCCCGCUCAGGUCACUCCUGUCCCCUCACAGCCGGCUCUGCCCCUCCGCACCGCCUGAACACUUCAUUUUCACUGCUCCCCUUGCCAGCUCCUCGACAAACACCCUCAAGCCCUCCACACUACGGCUCCCAGCCGGGCUGAGCCUUGCACCCUCAUCCCACCGGUACCUAUUUUGGCCUCCUCCUUUCUGGUCACACCUCCACAUGUAGCUCACAGGCUAACCCUAAAAAGCCUCCCUGUUCCCUGCAACCCCAUACACACUCUUUUUAAAAAUCUUUUCCCUCCCAUCGUUGCCUGCCUCCAACUCUCACUCCAAACUGCCCCCAGAGCGCAGCUCACACAUAAUGGACUUUAUUCUUCCCCAGAUCCUCGAAGCAAUCAGUCACACGCCAUCCACUGCUGCCUUCCUAAAUCGGAAAAGACAGAAACCACAAAAUUAUCAGCUUUGUACAAUCGCUUGUUUCUCUGCAUGGCAACAGCAGGAGUCAGCAAGCUGGGAGGAAGGAGGUGUGCUGCAAGUAACUGUGAUUUGCACUCCCUGCAGCCCAGGAGAGGCGUCCGGGUAAUCAGCCCCGUGUAGUGACACUUCUUGACAGGGCCUCAGGCCAGGCCUCAACUUGCUCCUGUGAUGCAGGAUGAAAGCCAGUAAAAAAAUUACAGCUACCCAUGUGAACAGCAAUACUUCAGUAAGUCUGUGAGACAAGUGCCAAGUGAAGCAGAGAAGCGAUUACAACAGAAAGAACGUUUCCCUCUGGCAGUCUCUGUCUUUAAUUCCAAAAUAACAGUUGUGCAGCCAAGGUUUAACAAAAUGGUUGAGCUAAUCCCUGCUGUCCACAGGUUACUGUUCACCUGCUCCAUCACAGGUCCUUGUCUGACACCUUGUUGAGCUAUUUCAGCUCACCAAAGCAGCAGGAAAGAUUCAGCUCUCUAGGAGAGCAUGACUGGGAAGCAGCAGUUUGGUGCAGUGAAUGCUGAGCGUGGUUUCCUCUCAUACCUAUGCUACUGUCACAGUCAGCACCUACUGAAAAGAGCAGCCCCACUUCACCUCCCUUCCAGCUGUGCCUUCCUGUCUCCUUCUUUGUACAGCAUUCCUGCUUUUGGAGGGUGAACUUUCUGCAACUUAGCUUUCUGAACUGGGUCACUGCUGGACCACACAAGAGACACUCCUGCAUCGGGAAAGGAGGAGGAACUCCCAGCCUGGAAGAAGAAGGAGGAUAAGAUCAGGAUGGCUCCCCUUCUGCCCAGACUGCCAUUAGCUCAGACUUAGCUGCAAAACGAAGCCACACACUGACCCCAGCAGCACUCGAGAACUAAGUGCAUUAGCCCACUUCCUUCAAGGGAAAUCCUGAAGUUCAUGGGGUAAACUCAAGGCCUGUGAGCAGGGUAAGGUCUGUGCCAGUUAAUUCUUGCUUAGGACAAGAGUUAAGAACAAUCACAACAAAUGAUGGUUUUUGUGCUGUUUUCAAGCUACAUUCCAAGCUCUGUUAAAGCCACAGUUUGCCUGUGGUACGGUACUGGUAGGUAGAAAUGCUUGUUACUGUGACUGCAGAAAUGUGACACUAUAAACAGUACCAUUUGCAAGUAAAGAAAAUGGAAAAUCUGAGCCUAAGAAGGAUCUUCUGAUUCCAUCUGACCUCAGCCCUUCUACUUGGCUUAAAAACUUGCACUAUAAAUUAUUACUCCCUUUACUACUCAACGUACAAGUAUUGUAAGCCAUCCUCAUGCCGGAGAGCACACUUUUAAAGAAACACCUCUACUCUGAAGAAAGAUCAAACCACGGCGUAUGACCAGAAAAAAAACCCAAACCAGCCUGCAAACCUGUCCCCCAGGGCUCAAAAAGGUGAGAUGUCAUUUAUGUGCCCAAAACAAACCACUUAAGCCAAUAAAAUUUACAAAACCCAAAA